ACUCCUACGGGAGGCAGCAGUGGGGAAUAUUGCACAAUGGGCGCAAGCCUGAUGCAGCCAUGCCGCGUGUGUGAAGAAGGCCUUCGGGUUGUAAAGCACUUUCAGUCGUGAGGAAGGUAGUGUAGUUAAUAGCUGCAUUAUUUGUACGUUAGCGACAGAAGAAGCACCGGCUAACUCCGUGCCAGCAGCCGCGGUAAUACGGAGGGUGCGAGCGUUAAUCGGAAUUACUGGGCGUAAAGCGCAUGCAGGUGGUUGUUAAGUCAGAUGUGAAAGCCCGGGGCUCAACCUCGGAAUAGCAUUUGAAACUGGCAGACGUAGAGUACUGUAGAGGGGGUUAGAAUUUCAGGUGUAGCGGUGAAAUGCGUAGAGAUCGUGAAGG
rnacentral:rRNA from 1 species